AUGUGGUUUCAUUGGAUGUAACGCUAAGAACUUUACUUACACUUGACAUACAGAGAACUUCAUAGAGAUAGAUUGGUGCUAUCGCGAACUGUGAUACAGCUGCUGCAUGGAUGUAGUCAGCUGGUGUUGUGAGAUCAUGUACUGACUCUCUCAACGAGGGCGACCCCUGUCCUUAGUUGUAAGCAGGUAAUCACUCAGAACUGCAAGGAGAGAGCAGGUGAUAAACCGGAGGAAGGGGGGGACGACGGCAAGUCAUCAUGGGCGUUUGGUGUAGGGCUCCGCACCUGUUACAAUGAUGCUUAUAGAGUGCCGGGAACAUAUGAAGGUAAGGGUAUCACAUUACCCCAGUAGUAGUCUGGAUUGGAGUGGGCAAAUCGUUUUCCGGAAAUUGGUUCCCCUGAAAGGCGUGUAUCGUAAUGAUGUUGGGAAUCAAUUGCUAGGCCGUAUAAAAGGGUACGUUCCCACGCAGGGGAGACCCGGCUGCCGAUAGACCCGAUGGAACCCUUGGAAUGACAUGUACCACCCUGCCGCCAGCAUUGGGUUGAAGCCAAACCAAACUCC
rnacentral:rRNA from 1 species